GAAGCCCUGUGAGGGGUGGAGCUGACUGGUACUAAUAGGCCGAGGGCUUGUCCUCAGUUG
rnacentral:rRNA from 1 species